CAGUAGCCGCGGGAAAACGAAGGGUGCAAGCGUUACUCGGAAUUACUGGGCGUAAAGCGUGCGUAGGUGGUGGUUUAAGUCCGUUGUGAAAGCCCUGGGCUCAACCUGGGAAUUGCAGUGGAUACUGGGUCACUAGAGUGUGGUAGAGGAUAGUGGAAUUUCCGGUGUAGCAGUGAAAUGCGUAGAGAUCGGAAGGAACAUCUGUGGCGAAGGCGACUAUCUGGGCCAACACUGACACUGAGGCACGAAAGCGUGGGGAGCAAACAGGAUUAGAUACCCGCGUAGUCCCUGUCUCUUAUAC
rnacentral:rRNA from 1 species